AAGGUGCCACGCAAAAACGAGGCGUCGGAGAUACGGUCGGAGAUGCCAUUUUCGACCGACGUUUGGCGGAGGUGGCCUUCCUUUCCGAGGCGAUAUCCACUUGUUGCUCUGGAAGUGGUGGUGGGGGAUGAAGGGUUCUGGAGUUGGACACAAAGGGUUGUGAAGUUGGGGGACUUUGCGGAGUCAGGAGUUGGUCAGGAGUCCGUUUGAUUGAGCCUGAGUCGGUUCGAGCCGGUCCCAGAACACUUCACUUGCACUGCUGACAACAGGCCAGACUACAGCGUUGAAGAGAGCGAAACAAGUGCACAAUUUGGUUGCACCAACAAACCACACCCCUGAUGAUCUCAACCAAUCUAGCGGUGAGAAGCAAAUCUUUGACCUUCUUCUUGAUCCCGGCUGUCUACAGUACACUGUAGAUACUGCUCAAGGCGACCUCGAAAGGCGUAAGGGUAUUGUACUACGAUCCCUGCCCCCUACCACUCCUACCACCCUACCACCACUGACCCAGUUUGGUGUUUCUACACCUCCUCUUCGGAACCACCUCAAUCUCUCUCUCCCUCGUGCCAUUAUGGGCAUGUCAGAUAAUACCCGACUACAGAAAAGAUGAGAAUCACCAUGCUCAAGAAGCUGGAGCGGAGACUGGACCAACUGCAAAGGCUGGAAGGAGAAGCGUCUCACUCGAAAGAUCAAAUGGAACAUGACGAGAGCCAAAAGACGAUUGCGGAUCUUCAUUAACAGGUUCAACAAGAUGGUGAAAACAAUGCGAGUGGCCCAACUUUCCAGACUGGUUGCUCAGACCCACACUCUGCGACAACACAGCAACUUCAGUGCAUCUGUUACGAAUGUCGGUACGAAUGUCGGUACGAAUGUCAGUACGAGUACCGCUACUCGUUUUCCUACGAAUACUGCUACUCUUUGUCGUUGUCGUUGUCGUUCUCAUUCUCGUUGUCGCUCUCUUCAUCGCAUCAACUGACAAGGAAUGAAAAAGAGAACUGAGACUGUGGCUACUGCAGUCGAGCAAGCCUAGAUGUUGGAUGUCAGAGCCCAAGAAAUGCAGCGACAGAUUGUUUUUUCGCAGUGACAGCCACCACUGCUGCUGCGUUAUAGUCUGUGGCUUUUCUGGCCAGCAGGCUACUGCGGCUUUGACCAGACUCUCACGUAGACAUGAUCAUA
rnacentral:misc_RNA from 1 species